UUCAGCAAAUGUUCGAUAUGAAAAAGAAGCAAAAUAUUUUCAUAUUUUUCUUCUUUUUCUAUACCAUUCCUUCCUACUAAUUUAUUUUCAGUUGUUGACCGCGUGCAAUGCGAUUAUUAGCGUCAGUGUUUGUUGCGUAGUUUUUUAAAUAUUUUUUUAGAGCACAAUAGCUCUAAGUAAAUUUAAUUGUAAUAAAUAUUCGCGAAAUUCGAGUCAGUGCUUGUUCGCCGAUUUUACUUUUACGGUCGCGCCAAUAGUCUUUUAUUUUAUUUUAUUUUUUUAAAUAUUCGCUUUCGGUACAGGAUAGAAUCAGUGCUUCUCUCAACAGUAUAAGGCGAUCAUCCAUCACGCGAAGAGAUGCUGAUAGCCAAUUAAACUUUUUGCGAUCGCGUGCAAUGCGGUUAUUAGCGUCAGUGUUUGUUGCGUAGUUUUUUAAAUAUUUUUUUAGAGCACAAUAGCUCUAAGUAAAUUUAAUUGUGAUAAAUAUUCGCGAAAUUCGAGUCAGUGCUUGUUCGCCGAUUUUACUUUUACGGUCGCGCCAAUAGUCUUUUAUUUUAUUUUAUUUUUUUAAAUAUUCGCUUUCGGUACAGGAUAGAAUCAGUGCUUCUCUCAACAGUAUAAGGCGAUCAUCCAUCACGCGAAGAGAUGUCUUCCCAAUGACAACUUCUCUUUGAACAGAGCAUGAAUUUCAUACUUCGCAUCUAUUGGUGAGUCGCAUGCAUUUAAGUUCCUCCGGUCAUUCAAUCAUGUCGUAGGAUGAAAGAUCCAAAUCGACACGGAUGACUGGUUGUAUACGUAGAAUUUUGCACGAGCACAGUGACCACGGGUAUUUUUAUUAUACCUGUGAAUAGUAACAUUCUUUUUUUCUGUAUUUUAUUCAUUAGAUCAGGAUAGGUUUUCUUGCACAUCGCGUUUCUAAUAAAAUGAUACUAAUUUUGAUUAAUUAUUGAUUAAAUUUCAAUAUAACGAAUUGAAAAUCAAUCUGA